ensembl:lncRNA
AGUCUUCACCCCUGAAUGAAUGAUACAUUGAUGUGACUGGCUUCACGCAGGACACGGAGAACAGCAUUGCUGGGGACAUAUCCUGACAAGUGGUGACCUGGAUGUGACCAAAGUCCGAUGUGACCAAAGCCCAACGUGACCAAAGUCUGACGUGAUAGAAGUUCGAGUCUACACAACGAAGUGGCAACCACAGAAUAAGGAAAAAACAGAGUGCGCCAGGAGACUCAAGGAUCCCAACUGAAUGUCUCAAGAACUAGAGAUGGUCUGGAUAAGAGAAGUGUUCCUGAAAACCAUGGUAGAAGGUUUGCAUCACAAGGUAAGAUGAGAGAAAAGCAAGUUCUCGUAGAAAGAUUUGUUUCAUCAGGGUCAGAAUACUGAAAAGAUGUUUUAUCAA